UGGUUAUCACAUUUGGGUAUGAAAUA
rnacentral:piRNA from 1 species